AUAGUAUGGUAGGGGCAUUUACAAAUAAGGUCUCUUAACCUUUCUCAUGUCUCAUGAAAAAGUUCACCAUCCAAUUGAAAAAAACUAGUAAUGACUUUUUAAUUU